UUUCCCUCUUUCUUCCUUCCUUACACAUGCAAGUCGCACGGUAACAGGUCUUCGGAUGCUGACGAGUGGCGAACGGGUGAGUAAUACAUCGGAACGUGCCCGAUCGUGGGGGAUAACGGAGCGAAAGCUUUGCUAAUACCGCAUACGAUCUACGGAUGAAAGCAGGGGACCGCAAGGCCUUGCGCGGACGGAGCGGCCGAUGGCAGAUUAGGUAGUUGGUGGGAUAAAAGCUUACCAAGCCGACGAUCUGUAGCUGGUCUGAGAGGACGACCAGCCACACUGGGACUGAGACACGGCCCAGACUCCUACGGGAGGCAGCAGUGGGGAAUUUUGGACAAUGGGCGAAAGCCUGAUCCAGCCAUGCCGCGUGCAGGAUGAAGGCCUUCGGGUUGUAAACUGCUUUUGUACGGAACGAAAAGACUCUUUCUAAUAAAGAGGGUCCAUGACGGUACCGUAAGAAUAAGCACCGGCUAACUACGUG
rnacentral:rRNA from 1 species